rnacentral:rRNA from 1 species
AUUGAACGCUGGCGGCAUGCUUUACACAUGCAAGUCGAACGGUAACAGGUUAAGCUGACGAGUGGCGAACGGGUGAGUAAUGCAUCGGAACGUGCCCGGUCGUGGGGGAUAACGCAGCGAAAGCUGCGCUAAUACCGCAUACGAUCUGAGGAUGAAAGCGGGGGACCGUAAGGCCUCGCGCGAUCGGAGCGGCCGAUGGCAGAUUAGGUAGUUGGGGGGGUAAAGGCUCACCAAGCCGACGAUCUGGAGCUGGUCUGAGAGGACGACCAGCCACACUGGGACAGAGACACGGCCCAGACUCCUACGGGAGGCAGCAGUGGGGAAUUUUGGACAAUGGGCUCAAGCCUGAUCCAGCAAUGCCGCGUGCAGGAAGAAGGCCUUCGGGUUGUAAACUGCUUUUGUACGGAGCGAAAAGGCUCUCUCUAAUACAGGGGGCUCAUGACGGUACCGUAAGAAUAAGCACCGGCUAACUACGUGCCAGCAGCCGCGGUAA